UACGUAGGGUGCGAGCGUUAAUCGGAAUUACUGGGCGUAAAGCGUGCGCAGGCGGUUCGUUGUGUCCGUCGUGAAAGCCCCGGGCUUAACCUGGGAACUGCGAUGGAAACUAGCGAUCUGGAGUGUGGCAGAGGGGGGUGGAAUUCCGCGUGUAGCAGUGAAAUGCGUAGAGAUGCGGAGGAACACCGAUGGCGAAGGCAGCCCCCUGGGCUAACACUGACGCUCAGGCACGAAAGCGUGGGGAGCAAACAGG
rnacentral:rRNA from 1 species